rnacentral:snRNA from 1 species
GUGCUUGCUUCUGCAGCACAUAUACUAAAAUUGGAAGGAUACAGAAAAGAUUAGCAUGGCCCCUGUGCAAGGAUGACAUGCAAAUUAGUGAAGCCUUCUAUAAUUUU